UACGGAGGGAGCUAGCGUUGUUCGGAAUUACUGGGCGUAAAGCGCACGUAGGCGGCUUGCCAAGUCGGACGUGAAAUCCCUCAGCUCAACUGAGGACGUGCAUCCGAAACUGGCGAGCUUGAGUACUGAAGAGGAUCGCGGAAUUCCCGGUGUAGAGGUGAAAUGCGCAGAUAUCAGGAGGAACACCGGUGGCGAAGGCGGGACUCUGGGCCGAUACUGACGCUGAGGAGCGAAAGCGUGGGGAGCAAACAGG
rnacentral:rRNA from 1 species